rnacentral:rRNA from 1 species
UACAGAGGGUGCGAGCGUUGUCCGGAAUCACUGGGCGUAAAGGGCGCGUAGGCGGCGCGGUAAGCGUGCGGUGAAAGCCCGGGGCUCAACCCCGGGUCGGCCGUGCGGACUGCCGGGCUGGAGCACUGGUAGAGGCAGGUGGAAUUCCGGGUGUAGCGGUGGAAUGCGUAGAGAUCCGGAAGAACACCGGUGGCGAAGGCGGCCUGCUGGGCAGUAGCUGACGCUGAAGCGCGACAGCGUGGG